GUGCUGCAAACAAAGUAAAUGAACCCUUUGGAAUGUCCUGGAUUUCUGCAUUGAUUGCUAAUAAAUGUGGUCUGAUAGUUCUCUAAGUCACAACUAGUACCAACACCAUGUACCAGCUCAUAACAUACAAACCAGUUGUACCGCUCAUUUCUUUUAUUGAACACAAUGAACAAGCAUCCACAGUGUCGAGAGAAAGUCAGUGAACUCUUGAAUGUAAUAACCUGUGUAGAUCCUCCUUCAGCAGCAGUCAUCUCCACCUAAUGUUUCCUGUAGCUUCAAAUAUGAUUUGCACAAUGUUGAGGAGGAAUUAUGCACCAUGGCUCCCUGCAGUUGUCCUUCAGUUCUUCAGUAUUUCUGGGAUGGUUUCCCUGCACGGCUCUCAUUAGGUCAGGUCACAGCAACUCCAUAGGGUCAUUCCACCACACCAUUUUUCUAUUUCAGGUGUUUUUUUAUUUGAUUUACUUUGGGUCGUUGUCAUGUUGCAUCAUCCAAUGUCUCUUCGGCUUGAGGCUGUGGACCUCUGCCCUUACAUUCUCCUGGAAGAUGUUUUCAUACACCUAAUUCAAUUGGCCUCCAAUAAUUGCAAGGCAUCCAAGCUCUGAGGAAGCAAAGCAGCCCAAACCAUGAUGUCCCUCUCCACAAGCCCCAAACCAUGAUGCCCCUGACACCAGCCCAAACCUCGAUGUUCCUUUCACUAACCCCAAACCAUGAUGUCCCCCUCCACUAGCCCAAAACCAUGAUGUUUUUCUACUACCAGCCCUUAACCAUGAUGCCCCCUCUACCAGCCCAAACAUGAUAUUCCUUCCACCAGCCUAAACCAUGAUGCGCCUGCCACCAGCCCAAACAUCAGCAUCUUUGUGCUUGCUUUGCUGCCUCCGGGCCUUGUGAUCAUAGAGACCCCAUUGACUAUUACUAUUAUGGUGGCCAUCAUUUAGCCUGUCUGUGCUACCUUAUUUCUCAUUCUUGACAGAAUCUUUGAUGGGGGCUCUUGACAGAACGUCCAACGCACAUAUGAACCUAUCCUUAGAUAAAGAGAUGCUAUAUUCUGUUGCAUAAAGUUGUGGAUGCUCUGGUGCUGUCCGUGGAGAACACGAACUGCUGACACCAAUGCAGAGAGGACUAUAACAUCUGCUCUCUGAAGCCCGACCUGAGAUGAAGCUCCACCGGUGGAGCCUGAUGACUAGACCAUGUUCUCAUUCUGCUCAUGCUCUUCCACGUGGCUGCUUUCUCCUGUGAGUCACACAUGAACCGCUGCUCUGUAUCAUGGGAAGCGAACGGUUAAUGUGGUGAUGAAACGGGAUCCCCCACAUGACUAUAACAGGAGAAUUAUGCAAUAUCACAUCUGCCCAAGUUUAUUAUGUUUGUGUCUACGGCUCAAAUUCUUCUCCAGAGGAUCCGGGAUUAAUUAACCCACAAUGCAAUGCUUUUAGUCCAUGUUUCUUAGGCAAUCCACAGGAAAAAUUACUGGACCUUUGGACCUCUAGAUUAAUUCUUAACCUUGGUUUGUUUCCAUCCCCAGGGAAGCAUGCUUAAUGCGUACAUUAUGCUAUAAUUUAUGUAACCUUAUUCAGGGAAAGUAGCAUCUUCCACACCUUCCAGCUGCCUGUGGUUUCCCUGCAGACACAUCAUCGUUGUGGAUUUGAAUUGCUAGGAUUUGGAGUUUCACCGCCCUACGAGCUCUGCAGAAUCAGAAGGAACCCCCUCCCAGUGAGCUACUAACGUGGUGGGAGAUACAAAUGAGGAACGAUAGGAACGCUCCUCCAGGGCAAGACCCUCAUGGUUGUAAAUGGGAGACCUUCCUCUAUUAACUGAGACCCUACAGAAGGCAGAUUAGAGAAGAAAGCAUGAAGCGACGCCUGCAGGAUCACACUCCUUUUUACGUGAGUAUUUGGAAAAGGGGAUACAGCCCAAGGUUCCUCUGGGUGCAGCUACCAGAUGAUGAAUGACGUAUACAAGUGUGGAGAAUAAUAAACCCUUCCUUGAAGAUGCUGCAUGUCGUCAGACCAUCCAGGUCCUAUCGGUUCCCAGUCCCAGAAGAUACUGACUACUAAAGGCUGCCAAUAAGACUUGUCACCCUGCUUUCCACAGUCCCUGAAGAGCAUGUAAAGUGACAUUGUGGUGAAGAGGACAUCUUCUCCCUCACUUCUACUACUCUGCUCACCACAGCCGUUACUCCCAUCUGUCCGCUACACCUGCAGGCUCAGUUCAGCCCACCAUGCAUGUGUUCUUGUUGGAGUCGGGGGGAAUAGGCUGCUGCUCCAUCACAGGUUAGGGGUGGUGAGAUGAUCCUUCCAAAGGGUUCACCUACUGUUUAUUGCCGCUGGUAAUAGACAUUGGCCUUUUACCGCCUGUGAUGAAGCCUGCUGUACGUGUAUUCAGGGCUAUCGUGCCUGUAAUAAAGACAGCACUGAUAGUGUGCUCCUGCUGUCCUUCUUAUAGACAGCGCAGUAUAUGGUCAUAACCUUGGGGUACUAGGCUAAUGGGUC